CACAGUAAGUUCACCUCAGAGCCAUUUCGCUGCUCAGAUGAAUGGAAGAAUCCCGUUCUGAAUCGAUCCAGUUUUGACCUCGGCAGAGAAGAGGCCCAGUUGAAACCAUUAAAGAUUUAUUCCUGACAGAACCAAUUAGGCCUGGCUGAGCAGCAAAGACCUUAAUUAGUCACAUGACUCAAAUUCCUUACUCACGCAAUUGGCACCAGGAAAUUAAUUACAGCGGCAGCAGCCCAGGCAGGGCGGACGGAUUGUGACUGUCAUGAGGGGAUGCACCAAGACCCGUUGAGAGCUCAGGUUCUUUUCAAUCUCAGAAGAUUUCUAAGCAAGUCCAAGUAUUCAGUGAAAUCAGCAUCAAGAAUUCUAAGAAAAUAGACCUGAUGCUUCCAGUUGUUCAGGAGAAGAAACACUUGCUAAUGAAUGUGACAUGUUUUUGAACCAUUUUCCAAGUCUCAAUCUUUGCCCUCUCUACAUAUCUAUCUGCAAUAAGUCAGUUUAGGGACUGAAGCCAAAGCCACAGAAGUGGAUUCCGUGCCAAGGUUCCUUUUAUUCCUGGUGAUCUACUCAGUUCCUUACUGUCCCAAAGGGAAACAAAAGACUCCCAGUUUUCUGAAAACCAGAUUCUCUGCACGACAGUGCAUUGCAUUGCCACAGGAUGGGCCACAGUGGAUGUUCUCCUAGCAAACAAAUCAGUCUUUUCUCAAACUGAAGGUAUUUGGAAGCUGAUAGCCUGCAUGUUUCACACACAGCCAGCCAUCACUGUGACACUCUACACAGGAUUUUGGAAUGAAACUCAAACAGAGGACAGAGAUGGAAAAUAGAGGAUCUUACUGACCUGCUCAAAAACAAGACAUAGAGAGAGAUUGUGAGCAAGAACUAAACCCCAACACAUUGUUUUCAAACCUACAGAGACUUCCUACAUUAAAUAAAAUAAAUAAAUAAAUUCUUCGGAGUCAGGGAGAGUGGAUCAUUCAGUUAUUUCAUAAAUGUCACACACAGAGGAUAAUUCACAGAAACGAUUUUGGAUUUUGCCACAAAAAGUUUCUAGAAUUUAAACCCCAGUUGAUGUGUUAAUUUUAAAAAUAAAUUGUUCUCUUCCUGCCAUGGAAGUGUGAAUAAAUAGAGCAUGCAGCAUGGCAGCUCACCACCAAUAUAUUACUGCUGCUUUUCUUAAAAAAACCCUGACAUUUCAAGGGAUCCAAGGCUGACAAAGUGAAAAAAAUGUGUCGAGUUAUAAUUUCCUUGAAAGAACGUGUUGAGCUAUAAUUUCCCUGUCUCUCAGAAAAAUUAUGUCACUAUUAGCACUCACAGAGACUUAGUUUCUUUUUCCAAGAUUAAGUCACUCUGUAAAGCACACACAUAAUCCCAUUUUAUGACAGGAAACAGCCGGGCAUUAUUAGCAGAUAAUCUUGGUUAGCUCUUAGAUGUUUUCUUUCACUUUCGGAAAGUCACAUCCUGAAUUGCCAGGCUGGCUUGUUAAAAUAGAGCUGCAGUGCUAAUUAAAGCAACGUUUAAAAUGGGCCCAAGGAAGAAAAUAAAAGAAUUCUUUUUUUCCAGAGCCAUUGCUUGGUGAUUUCGCAAUGAAAUUCCAAAG